rnacentral:rRNA from 1 species
AUUGAACGCUGGCGGCAUGCUUUACACAUGCAAGUCGAACGGUAACAGGCCGCAAGGUGCUGACGAGUGGCGAACGGGUGAGUAAUGCAUCGGAACGUGCCCAGUCGUGGGGGAUAACGCAGCGAAAGCUGCGCUAAUACCGCAUACGAUCUAUGGAUGAAAGCGGGGGACCGUAAGGCUUCGCGCGAUUGGAGCGGCCGAUGUCAGAUUAGGUAGGUGGUGGGGUAAAGGCUCACCAAGCCAACGACCUGUAGCUGGUCUGAGAGGACGACCAGCCACACUGGGCCGGAGACACGGCCCGGACUCCUACGGGAGGCAGCAGUGGGGAAUUUUGGACAAUGGGCGCAAGCCUGAUCCAGCAAUGCCGCGUGCAGGAAGAAGGCCUUCGGGUUGUAAACUGCUUUUGUACGGAACGAAACGGUCCUGGUUAAUACCCGGGGCUAAUGACGGUACCGUAAGAAUAAGCACCGGCUAACUACGUGCCAGCCGCCGCAGUAAUAC